UCACUUUCAACAACGGAUCUCUUGGUUCUCGCAUCGAUGAAGAGCGUAGCGAAGUGCGAUAAGUAAUGUGAAUUGCAGAAUUCCGUGAAUCAUCGAAUUUUUGAACGCAAAUUGCACUCUCUGGUAUUCCAAGGGAGUAUGCCUGUUUGAGGGUUAAUU
rnacentral:rRNA from 1 species